GUAGGUAUCUGCCCUUUGGCCUGGAAUAACACGAGGAAACUUGUGCUAAUACCGGAUAAGUCUUUACGGAGAAAGCUUUAUGCACCAUUGGAUGAGCCUGCACUUGAUUAGUUUGUUGGUGGGGUAAUGGCCUACCAAGACUGUGAUCAAUAGCUGAUUUGAGAGGAUGAUCAGCCACAUUGGGACUGAGACACGGCCCAAACUCCUACGGGAGGCAGCAGUGGGGAAUCUUGCACAAUGGAGGAAACUCUGAUGCAGCGAUGCCGCGUGAGUGAAGAAGGCCCUUGGGUUGUAAAGCUCUUUCGUCGGGGAAGGAAAUGACUGUACCCGAAUAAGAAGGUCCGGCUAACUUCGUGCCAGCAGCCGCGGUAAUACGAAGGGACCUAGCGUAGUUCGGAAUUACUGGGCUUAAAGAGUUCGUAGGUGGUUGAAAAAGUUAGUGGUGAAAUCCCAGAGCUUAACUCUGGAACUGCCAUUAAAACUUUUCAGCUAGAGUAUGAUAGAGGAAAGCAGAAUUUCUAGUGUAGAGGUGAAAUUCGUAGAUAUUAGAAAGAAUACCAAUUGCGAAGGCAGCUUUCUGGAUCAUUACUGACACUGAGGAACGAAAGCAUGGGUAGCGAAGAGGAUUAGAUACCCUCGUAGUCCAUGCCGUAAACGAUGUGUGUUAGACGUUGGAAAUUUAUUUUCAGUGUCGCAGCGAAAGCGAUAAACACACCGCCUGGGGAGUACGACCGCAAGGUUAAAACUCAAAUGAAUUGAC
rnacentral:rRNA from 1 species